AGGCUUAACACAUGCAAGUCGAGGGGCAUCAGUUUGGUUUGCUUGCAAACCAAAGCUGGCGACCGGCGCACGGGUGAGCAACACGUAUCCAACCUGCCGUCUACUCUUGGACAGCCUUCUGAAAGGAAGAUUAAUACAAGAUGGCAUCAUGAGUCCGCAUGUUCACAUGAUUAAAGGUAUUCCGGUAGACGAUGGGGAUGCGUUCCAUUAGAUAGUAGGCGGGGUAACGGCCCACCUAGUCUUCGAUGGAUAGGGGUUCUGAGAGGAAGGUCCCCCACAUUGGAACUGAGACACGGUCCAAACUCCUACGGGAGGCAGCAGUGAGGAAUAUUGGUCAAUGGGCGAGAGCCUGAACCAGCCAAGUAGCGUGAAGGAUGACUGCCCUAUGGGUUGUAAACUUCUCUUAUAAAGGAAUAAAGUCGGGUAUGGAUACCCGUUUGCAUGUACUUUAUGAAUAAGGAUCGGCUAACUCCGUGCCAGCAGCCGCGGUAAUACGGAGGAUCCGAGCGUUAUCCGGAUUUAUUGGGUUUAAAGGGAGCGUAGAUGGAUGUUUAAGUCAGUUGUGAAAGUUUGCGGCUCAACCGUAAAAUUGCAGUUGAUACUGGAUAUCUUGAGUGCAGUUGAGGCAGGCGGAAUUCGUGGUGUAGCGGUGAAAUGCUUAGAUAUCACGAAGAACUCCGAUUGCGAAGGCAGCCUGCUAAGCUGCAACUGACAUUGAGGCU
rnacentral:rRNA from 1 species